UUUUUUUUACUGCUUGUAGUGUCUGUCCAUGGUCCUGAUCUCCACUAGCGGUGACACCGUACCCUUGCGUGUGCGAUUUUGUUGCGUUAGUCUAUUGGAGGACGGCCUAGGUACACAUUUUCAAAGCGAAAUUUGCUAUACCGUCGAGCGGAUCCCUUGCUAUAAGUUCUUUAAUGAAUCUUAGGCGUACUAGAUGUCAAACAGCUGCAGAGUCGGAUGGGGUCUCAAGGAUACCGGUGUGUCC